GACGAACGCUGGCGGCGUGCUUAACACAUGCAAGUCGAGCGGGGACAAUUGACUUCGGUUGGUUGUUCCAGCGGCGGACGGGUGAGUAACGCGUGAACAAUCUGUCCCAGACAGGGGGAUAACAGAUGGAAACAUCUGCUAAUACCGCAUAAGACCACGACCCGGCAUCGGGAAGGGGUAAAAGGAGGAAUCCGGUUUGGGGUGAGUUCGCGUCCGAUUAGCUGGUUGGUGAGGUAACGGCCCACCAAGGCGACGAUCGGUAGCCGACCUGAGAGGGUGAUCGGCCACAUUGGAACUGAGAGACGGUCCAA
rnacentral:rRNA from 1 species